GAUGAACGCUGGCGGCGUGCCUAAUACAUGCAAGUCGAGCGAACAGAUAAGGAGCUUGCUCCUUUGACGUUAGCGGCGGACGGGUGAGUAACACGUGGAUAACCUACCUAUAAGACUGGGAUAACUUCGGGAAACCGGAGCUAAUACCGGAUAACAUAUUGAACCGCAUGGUUCAAUAGUGAAAGGCGGCUUUGCUGUCACUUAUAGAUGGAUCCGCGCCGUAUUAGCUAGUUGGUAGGGUAACGGCUUACCAAGGCAACGAUACGUAGCCGACCGGAGAGGGUGAUCGGCCACACUGGAACUGAGACGCGGUCCAGGCUCCUACGGGAGGCAGCAGUAGGGAAUCUUCCGCAAUGGGCGGAAGCCUGACGGAGCAACGCCGCGUGAGUGAUGACGGUCUUCGGAUCGUAAAACUCUGUUAUCAGGGAAGAACAAAUGUGUAAGUAACUGUGCACAUCUUGACGGUACCUGAUCAGAAAGCCACGGCUAACUACGUG
rnacentral:rRNA from 1 species